UUAAUUCGAUGCAACGCGAAAACCUUACUACCCUUGACAUGUCCGGAAUCCUGCAGAGAUGCGGGAGUGCCCGAAAGGGAAUCGGAACACAGGUGCUGCAUGGCUGUCGUCAGCUCGUGUCGUGAGAUGUUGGGUUAAGUCCCGCAACGAGCGCAACCCUUAUCAUUAGUUGCUACGCAAGGGCACUCUAAUGAGACUGCCGGUGACAAACCGGAGGAAGUGGGGAUGACGUCAAGUCCUCAUGGCCCUUAUGGGUAGGGCUUCACACGUCAUACAAUGGUCGGUACAGAGGGUUGCCAAGCCGCGAGGCGGAGCCAAUCCCACAAAGCCGAUCGUAGUCCGGAUUGUUCUCUGCAACUCGAGAGCAUGAAGUCGGAAUCGCUAGUAAUCGCAGGUCAGCAUACUGCGGUGAAUACGUUCCCGGGUCUU
rnacentral:rRNA from 1 species